UCCCCGCCCGAAAUUCGCUAGUCGCUCUAGUGAACUUUGGGCGGGGCAGUUGUCCGUGACACUUGUAACACGGACCAGGGGUUGCGUUCGUUACCCCAAUUAAGGGAACGCCUCACGGCACGAACUGACGACAACCAUGCAGCACCUGUCCCGACGUCUCUUGUGAAGAAAACACUCCUUUCAGAAUGUCGUCGUCGGAAUUUCAAACCCUGGUAAGGUUCCUCGCUUAGUGUCGAAUUAAACCUCAUGUUCCACCGCUUGUGCGAGUCCCCGUCUAUUCCUUUGAGUUUUAAGCUUGCGCUCGUACUUCCCAGGCGGCCUGCUUAACGCGUUAGCUCCGGCACUCCGAGGGUCGAUACUCGAAACACCAAGCAGGCAUCGUUUAGGGCGUGGACUA
rnacentral:misc_RNA from 1 species